UUUCACCAAUGUUAGCAGAGGGCAGAAUUCACCCGCUUGGUUCCAUAUGAUAUUCAACUAAGCCUGGAUAAUGUGUCAUUUUCAGCACUUUUUCCUUUGGGCUUGUCUACAUGCUUGGGACUGACAUCAAAGUGGGAAUCUUCAAUUGCAUCAUGCCACUGAAACAGGCUUUCCAGCUGCAUGUUCCCAGCUGUGACCAACUGAAGGGAGAGAAUUACCAAAUAAGAACAGGCUGAACAAGACAAUAAUCUCCUCCAAUCAAAGCCUGCCAGGGCUGAGAACGCUGUGCAGUCCUCUUCUAAGCUACUGCCAAAACUGCCUCUGCUAUUGAGCAGUGCCAUGGCCGUUCUGCUCAUCCCGCCAUUGCAUGCAUGUGUGAUAGUUCGGAUGACACGAAUGAUGGACGUGAUCUUCAUGUCUGACACAGAGAGGGAGCUGUUGAGGCUGCAAAUAGCAACAAGCAAAAAAAUCAAGAGUCAGGUGCAUCUGUACCAAAAUAACAGUCAUAUGGAUCGAUAGACCUUUGAAGGCCUCUGAAAACACUGUAGCUUCUGCAUCAUCAGAGCCAAGAACAGGCCUACCUCAAGUUUCAAGUGAUCCCUCUUCUCUUUCAUUUUUCUGAAAGAAUAUCUACACACAUGGAAAAGAUGGAUUUAUAAAAAAGCAAAGGAGUCAUGAGGGACCACAUAUUGACCAUACAGAGGUUAUUUUCUUGUGGAAAUCCUUGAACGUUGUGUGGAAAUGAGUCGAUGAACACAGUGUUACUGUAAGGUGAUCAUCCUCUAGACCUGAAGUGGGCAGUGCUGAGGAAGAUAACCAGAGCUGAAAGACCCUGCAGUGAUCCACUGAAAAAACUCAGCCAGCAGGUCCUGCUGGUACCUGUUCCAUGUGAGAAGUUUGACAAUGAAGAUAUGUAAAGCACAGGAUGUGCUACUCUAAAGGAGUUUCCGGCAUCACGCAGACUCUCCUGCCAGCCAAGGAAUGAGCGUGGCUUCAUCCCAAACCCAUCGUCGAAAUUCCUGAGUCACCCACAGGGGUGGCCGCGGGGCGGGUCAAAGCUGUCCCUCUCCCAGGAUGCAGCGAGCGGCCACCGCUUUCUCCCAGACACUGACAGCUCUUUUUCUAAAAGGGGAACGCGUGUCCCCUGAUAGCACUGGAGCAUCAUUUUUGCAUUGGUUCCAAAUAAGUUCACAUUUUUGGGCAGCUGGUUCAAAAGCAGUUGCAAAUUCCCUUUAACACAGUUGCGUAAAAAGCAGGACCCGCCAAGCUCAACCGAGAAAAUAUGGAUUCCCAAGGAAUCUGGACUAGCUCCUAAGUUUCUGCUAAUUUUGUUCCCAAAGACAUCUGCUUCUAUUUGCGCAUUUCUUCAGAUACUAAAGACAAAAUUAGAAUACAGAGAUUUUGGUGUUAAAAGCAUAAGCGCAGAUGUGCUGAAACUGCCACAGCCCUUUUAAUGGUCAUGCUUCAGAGAGAGACUCUGGGAGCAACUGGUAGAAAUCAGUUUCCUGCCGUAAGCAUACUUUUGAGGUUUUGAACCUCCAAUAUAUCAGAAGACAGUGCCAGCCACUGAAUUAUGCUGCUAAGCUUCUUAGCAGAGCUCCUAAAAUCAUCACAGUAAUUUUCAAGGUGUUUUUCAAAUAUGGCACUUUGGGAAUCUGUUUCUGUGAACCCAUUUCUGGGAAGGUCUUGCACAAAUUCCAGGUACAAACAGUAACCCUGUAAAAUGCCCUAAAAUGUGCUGAGGCAAGCACUUCACUAGCUUUCCCCCUUCCUACAAAAAACAGCAAGUCAGAUCACAAAUUAUUACACAAUAUUGACUGCACUUCCAGGACUUCUUUUGCUCAAGCCUCAUAUACGAUUAUAAAAAGGUUACAUAAGAUGACAUUUUUUAAAGUGGAGGAGCCUCUGUUUACCAUUUAAACUAGGUAUUCUAAUUCAGAGCUGCUAGUUAUAAGGGAUGCUCCUUAGACUUCGGCUGUUCUCUGAAAGUCUGAUCUUCUUAAAUGAAGCAAGUAAGAAACAAAAUCCGAAACCACUUUUGAAAAAUUGGAUUGUAAUAUGCAGACCAUUAUUGACUGGUCUGUAAAUCUGCAAAGUAGUAGGAAGUUUUAAUCAACUUGGAUUUCUAGUGUGGAAGGAAAGGUCAAACUCCAACAGCAGCAAUCUUUCUCACGAUAAUGCAAAAUAUCUCCACUGAAUUGUCACUGGGAAAUUCACAGAUUUCCAGAAAUCACAGUGAUAUUUCAUUUUCAUCUUUUUAAAAGAGUCAAAGCUUCUAAACACUGAGUAGCUCAGGAGCCUGCAAAUUCCUAGAGCCAGGUCCACAAGACUGCUGAAAUGCUGAGAAGUUGUGAAAUUGGGAUUUCUGAGCUGUGGGACGAUCCACAAGGAGAACCUAGAGGUGCUUAGGAGCCACACGACUGCACUAAGGCUUCCAAAAUACCACAAGAAAUAAAUCAAUUUCAGAUGUUUUAAUAAACAGAAAGCCUGCCGGCUUUCCACCAGACUUUCAUGAAAAUUGAUGUUCCCACAAAAUGCUUCCAUUUUGACAAAUAUAUUCCAAUUAAAAAUAAAAUUUAAAAGCAUUGUGGUAGAGAAUUCCCCAAUUCUCAAUUUUUCAACAUAGUUUUGCUUCGUCUUUCACAAAUGAAAUCUCUUUAGUACAAAACACCACGAACCAGCAGGUGGUAAACCAGCACUUAGUGAUUGCCCUGUAAAAGUAUCCCAGUUCAACUGUAAGAAAGAAACUAAUUCACAUUUUAUCUGCCCAUUUAUCUUCUCUGAAUAAAAGGAGAAAAUUGUGGGGAAGAAGUCUGCCCAAGGGUUCAAUAUAUCUUAAAAAAAAAAAUCUUGCUGAUGUUUUCUCCUCCCUUCCCACACAGUAUACGAACCAGUAACGUUGUUUUUAUGUGGCACACAGUGCUGAAGGUUUAAGAAGAAAGAUAUGAAGCUGGACAACUAGGAGACAGUAAAGCAUGUUAAUGUUCCCCUAAUUGAGACAACAGCCUACAAUCAUUUCACCUCUUGAACAAAGGCAAGAUUCACAGACUGUCUUAAAGUUUGUGGUAUAGCACAUACUAAAUAUAGUCAAGCUAUGUAAAGCAGAGCAGCGAGGUGCUUUGGCACAUUUUCAGGAACUGCACAGAAGAAAGGCCAGCUACUUUCAGUUCAGAGCAGAAUGAGUCAUUUAUCACCAAAAGACCCAUUAAACACAAACAAGAUCCUGCAGAAACCUGCAAAGAAUGAGACUGUUACUGAAAGUACCAACCUAUCUGCCUUUUGUGAGCGGCCCCUAAAAAGAUACAGAGUAAACAGGACUUCUCGCUGAGUACUGACUCUGGUUUCCAAGGUUGGAGCUCACCCUAUGAGGUCCCCACCAGCCGACUGGCCUGCAACCAUCUGACUAUGGGUUGUGAAGCUCCCAGACUCUUCCAGCCAGAAAGAUGACACAACUCUGAAGGAAACCCAGAAGUUCAAGAAGUGAUAUUAAUAUUUGCAGUGGAGUAGAUUAUUUCUGUCUGUGCUAGCAAAGCACAAAUGCUUCAACUUUAUUUCAAGCAAGUACAAAAGGCAUUACUCUGAUGUCAGGUAUUUUUGAAACCCUCUUGUUUGAGGGGUGAGUCACUCAUUACGAGUUGAUGUAAAGGAUUUUACAUCAGAUCCAGAUUAAUUCUUCAGCUUGCUUUGUGAUUAAAUUGAGCAAUGUAAAUGCAUGUGUUUCUGCCAUAACAGCAUAAUUUCUAUCCUUUUUCUCCAUAUAUUGCAGUGAAAAACUUGAGAAAAAUGAAUACAAGUAUUUUUGCACAAACUUAAAAUUCACUUUCUAAAAAUACUAUGAUUAUGAUUCCAAGUUUUUGCAGAGGUAUUUGUGCUGACAGGUAUUACAUAUAGAUCUAUUCAGAAAAUAAAGAGAAUCAAGAACAUUAAUGGAAACUACAUAAACAAUUUGAGUUGUACAAAAGGAAAAAAAAGAAAGAAGAAGCCCUGGAUGGUCUUUGGUCAAAAGAGUACAUUUACUCUUGUUUUUUGCAGGGGAAGGUGUUUUUUUUAAGGUAGCCUCAUGCACUCUGGAUAUCUUAGAUUACCGUGAAAAAACACCUUUCCAGGUGCAAUCAUGUUGGGUAUCAGAGGAAAGAGCUCCCACUGGAACAACCAGCACCAGUUGCUGCAGAACUUCCUUCCAGAAUUUCUUUGUUUUGCUACAGCUGUUCAUGUUGUUGUGUGCUUUGGUUUGUAGCAAAAACAGAUUUUAAAUUGUUUUCUUAAAUCA